UACGAAGGGUGCAAGCGUUACUCGGAAUCACUGGGCGUAAGGCGUGCGUAGGCGGUUCGUUAAGUCUGCUGUGAAAGCCCUGGGCUCAACCUGGGAACUGCAGUGGAUACUGGCGGACUAGAGUGUGAUAGAGGAUGGUGGAAUUCCCGGUGUAGCGGUGAAAUGCGUAGAGAUCGGGAGGAACACCAGUGGCGAAGGCGGCCAUCUGGAUCAACACUGACGCUGAGGCACGAAAGCGUGGGGGAGCAAACAGG
rnacentral:rRNA from 1 species